rnacentral:lncRNA from 1 species
GAGAUUGAAUUGAAGAUAAUUUAUUGUAAUAAUUAAGCAUAUACAACAAUUCCAACGACAGUGAAACCUAUAUAAAAAAAUGCUCUGUUUAGGAAUAAAAAUUCAUAGACCUAACUUGGGACCCCGGUUAUAGGAAAAAACUCUAUAUUGUCGCAAUUCAUAUUUUUUUCAGGUCUCGCCUUAACGAAAUUCAUCCCCAGGGUAUGGUUUUAGAGAGAACUACAUUAUUUGUGAGAACGUGAAAACCAUCAA